GUGAACGCUGGCGGUAGGCCUAACACAUGCCAGUCGAACGGCAGCACAGUAAGAGCUUGCUCUUACGGGUGGCGAGUGGCGGACGGGUGAGGAAUACAUCGGAAUCUACUUUUUCGUGGGGGAUAACGUAGGGAAACUUACGCUAAUACCGCAUACGACCUACGGGUGAAAGCAGGGGAUCUUCGGACCUUGCGCGAUUGAAUGAGCCGAUGUCGGAUUAGCUAGUUGGCGGGGUAAAGGCCCACCAAGGCGACGAUCCGUAGCUGGUCUGAGAGGAUGAUCCGCCACACUGGAACUGAGACACGGUCCAGACUCCUACGGGAGGCAGCAGUGGGGAAUAUUGGACAAUGGGCGCAAGCCUGAUCCAGCCAUACCGCGUGGGUGAAGAAGGCCUUCGGGUUGUAAAGCCCUAUUGUUGGGAAAGAAAAGCAGCAGGUUAAUACCCCGCUGUUCUGACGGUACCCAAAGAAUAAGCACCGGCUAACUUCGUG
rnacentral:rRNA from 1 species